rnacentral:rRNA from 1 species
ACCAGACUCCUACGGGAGGCAGCAGUGAGGAAUAUUGGUCAAUGGGCUUACGCCUGAACCAGCCAAGUCGCGUGAGGGAAGACUGCCCUAUGGGUUGUAAACCUCUUUUGUCAGGGAGCAAUUGGCGCUACGUGUAGCGUUAUCGAGAGUACCUGAAGAAAAAGCAUCGGCUAACUCCGUGCCAGCAGCCGCGGUAAUACGGAGGAUGCGAGCGUUAUCCGGUUUUAUUGGGUUUAAAGGGUGCGAAGGCGGAAGGCCAAUGCGGGGGUAAAAUCGCGGGGCCAACCCUGGCCCCGCCGUUGAAACUGGCGUUCUUGAGUGGGCGAGAAGUAUGCGGAAUGCGUGGUGUAGCGGUGAAAUGCAUAGAUAUCACGCAGAACUCCGAUUGCGAAGGCAGCAUACCGGCGCCCAACUGACGCUGAAGCACGAAAGCGUGGGUAUCGAACAGGAUUAGAUACCCCUGUAC